rnacentral:rRNA from 1 species
UACGAAGGGGGCUAGCGUUGUUCGGAUUUACUGGGCGUAAAGCGCACGUAGGCGGCUUUUUAAGUCAGGGGUGAAAUCCUGGAGCUCAACUCCAGAACUGCCUUUGAUACUGAAGAGCUUGAGUUCGGGAGAGGUGAGUGGAACUGCGAGUGUAGAGGUGAAAUUCGUAGAUAUUCGCAAGAACACCAGUGGCGAAGGCGGCUCACUGGCCCGAUACUGACGCUGAGGCACGAAAGCGUGGGGAGCAAACAGG